rnacentral:rRNA from 1 species
GACGUAGGGCGCGAGCGUUGUCCGGAUUUAUUGGGCGUAAAGAGCUCGUAGGCGGCUUGUUGCGUCAGCUGUGAAAACCCGCAGCUCAACUGUGGGCUUGCAGCUGAUACGGGCAGGCUUGAGUUUGGUAGGGGAGACUGGAAUUCCUGGUGUAGCGGUGAAAUGCGUAGAUAUCGGGAGGAACACCAGUGGCGAAGGCGACUACCUGGCCCAUUCUUGACGCUGAGGCGCGAAAGCCAGGGGAGCAAACGGG